GACGAACGCUGGCGGCGUGCUUAACACAUGCAAGUCGAACGGAAAGGCCCCUUUGGGGGUACUCGAGUGGCGAACGGGUGAGUAACACGUGAGUAACCUGCCCUUGACUUCGGGAUAACUUCAGGAAACUGGGGCUAAUACCGGAUAGGAAUCCUUGCUGCAUGGUGGGGGUUGGAAAGCUUCGGCGGUUUUGGAUGGACUCGCGGCUUAUCAGCUUGUUGGUGGGGUAGUGGCUUACCAAGGCUUUGACGGGUAGCCGGCCUGAGAGGGCGACCGGCCACAUUGGGACUGAGAUACGACCCAGACUCCUACGGGAGGCAGCAGUGGGGAAGAUUGCACAAUGGGCGGAAGCCUGAUGCAGCAACGCCGCGGGCGGGAUGACGGCCUUCGGGUUGUAAACCGCUUUCAGCAGGGGCGAAGCUUGUGGUGACGGUACCUGCAGAAGAAGCACCGGCUAACUACGUG
rnacentral:rRNA from 1 species